GGGAAAUAAAGUAGUUUGGUGCUUUGGAUCUCAUUAAACUGCUUGGUGACACCAGCGUGAGGACUGUGACAAGGGUCCCUAAACUCACUGCACAUUAUUAGGACACAGUUUUGCCUUCGGUCAGCUUCCUCCUUGGUGUCUGUGUUCCGGUGGUGUUUCUAGUCCUUGUUCGCUCGUUGUUUUCUCCGCUCCCUCGUCCUUCCUCGCUGUUUUGUCUGUUUCUUUUGCUACGAGGUGUGCCCGGGGCCGGAGCCUCUGCCUGGGAGGACACGGCUGGGUCCCGAGCUGCAGAGCCGAGGGGCGGGGCCGCACCUGGGGGGACCGCGAGCGGCGUCAGAGCCGCUGGACGACGAGGGGACCCGAGCGCAUCCAUCACCGCCGCUCGCGGGGAAAGAGACGCCACCUCUCAUCCCUAGAUGGCAGCAGGGCUCUGAAGCUGGCGCAGCCCUAGGCAGCCUUUUCUGGUCUGUUUUCCCUAGCAGAACGCCAAUGGAUACAGCGGUAAACAGCGCGGCGCGUCCCUGGAGUGCGGGUCAAGCAGGAGAGCAAGCUAGGAGUUGAAGCAUCUGAGAUAGUGAAAAAUAAUGGGCAUGCA
rnacentral:lncRNA from 1 species